AAACCAACCGGGAUUGCCUCAGUAACGGCGAGUGAAGCGGCAAAAGCUCAAAUUUGAAAUCUGGUACCUUCGGUGCCCGAGUUGUAAUUUGUAGAGCGUGUCUUGGGGCUGUUCCCUGUCUAUGUUCCUUGGAACAGGACGUCAUGGAGGGUGAGAAUCCCGUAUGGCGGGGGCCGCAGUUCUAUGUAAGUCACGCUCGAAGAGUCGAGUUGUUUGGGAAUGCAGCUCUAAGUGGGUGGUAAAUUCCAUCUAAAGCUAAAUAUAGGCGAGAGACCGAUAGCGAACAAGUACAGUGAUGGAAAGAUGAAAAGAACUUUGAAAAGAGAGUGAAAGAGGACGUGAAAUUGUUGAAAGGGAAGGGCAUUUGAUCAGACAUGGUGUUUUGCGCCCUCUGCUCCUUGUGGGUGGGGGAAUCUCGCAGCUCACUGGGCCAGCAUCAGUUUUGGCGGCAGGAUAAAACCCUGGGAACGUAACUUGCUUCGGUAAGUAUUAUAGCCCAGGGAAAUACUGCCAGCUGGGACUGAGGAACGCGGCGUAAGCCUAGGAUGCUGGCAUAAUGGUUAUAUGCCGC
rnacentral:rRNA from 1 species